rnacentral:rRNA from 1 species
UACGUAGGGUGCGAGCGUUAAUCGGAAUUACUGGGCGUAAAGCGUGCGCAGGCGGUUUUGUAAGACAGGCGUGAAAUCCCCGGGCUCAACCUGGGAAUUGCAGUCGAGACUGCUCGGCUAGAGUGUGGGAGAGGGUGGUGGAAUUCCCGGUGUAGCGGUGAAAUGCGUAGAUAUCGGGAGGAACAUCAGUGGCGAAGGCGACCACCUGGCCCAACACUGACGCUGAGGUGCGAAAGCGUGGGUAGCAAACAGG